UUUCUGCUGAGGACGACCGGUCCGCCCUCUGGGUGAGUAUCUGGCUUGGCCUUGGCAUCUUCUUGGAGAACGUAGCUGCACUUGACUGUGUGGUGCGGUAUCCAGGACUUUUACUUUGAGGAAAUUAGAGUGUUUCAAGCAGGCACACGCCUUGAAUACAUUAGCAUGGAAUAAUAAGAUACGACUUUCAGUCUAUUUUGUUGGUUUCUAGGGUGGAAGUAAUGAUUGAUAGGGAUAGUUGGGGGUGCUAGUAUUCAUCG
rnacentral:rRNA from 1 species